CAGCUCCUGGAGGACAUUUCGAACACACCGUGAGGGGGAAGGGAAGCUGCUGUGUUGAAGGUGCUUCUGGAAUAGUAUUUUCAUCUCGUCCACUUUUUUUUUUUUUUUUUUGAGACGGAGUCUCGCUCUGUCGCCCAGGCUAGAGUGCAGUUGCGCGAUCUUGGCUCACUGCGAGUUCCACCUCCUGGGUUCACGCCAUUCUCCUGCCUCAGCCUCCCAAGUAGCUGGAACUACAGGCGCCCACUACCACGCCCAGAGUCUCGCUCUGUCACCCAAGCUGGAGUGCAGUGGUGUGAUCUCGGCUCACUGCAGCCUUCACCUCCUGGGUUCAAGCAGUUCUCCUGCCUCAGCCUUCCGAGUAGAUGGUGUCAGGCCUCUGAGCCCAAGCUAAGCCAUCAUAUCCCCUGUGAUCUGCACGUAUACAUCCAGAUGGCCUGAAGUAACUGAAUAAUCACAAAAGGAGUGAAAAUGGCCUGUUCCUGCCUUAACUGAUGACAUUCCACCACAAAAGAAGUGAAAAUGGCCAGUCCCUGCCUUAACUGAUGACAUUACCUCGUGAAAUUCCUUCUCCUGGCUCAUCCUGGCUCAAAAGCUCCACCACUGAGCACCUUGUGACCCCCCACCCCUGCCAGCCAGAGAACAACCCCCUCUGACUGUAAUUUUCCUUUACCUACCC
rnacentral:lncRNA from 10 species